rnacentral:lncRNA from 1 species
CAGCCGUCACUUCUCGAGAUAUGUUCGAGAAAUGACAUAACCCAUGUGCACCCCAUCCUAAGAGCACGAUCUCUAGGACGAGUGCACGGGGGCCAGUGACUAUGCCAAUAUUGAUAUACCCCGAGGAGUGUAUCCCGAGGACUCGAUCUAUACCCCACCUCAUUUCUCUUCUUCGGUCCUCGAGGUCAUCUAAGUCCUCGAGAUAUUGUAGUCCUCGAGAUACCUCGAGGACACAUUUACAUUCCCUCAAUGUCCUCGAGAAUAGUCCUCGAGACAUACACCACCAACAUACCUCCUAAGAUCUGGGUACCUAACUAACA